AUUGAACGCUGGCGGCAUGCCUUACACAUGCAAGUCGAACGGCAGCACGGGUGCUUGCACCUGGUGGCGAGUGGCGAACGGGUGAGUAAUACAUCGGAACAUGUCCUGUAGCGGGGGAUAGCCCGGCGAAAGCCGGAUUAAUACCGCAUACGAUCUACGGAUGAAAGCGGGGGACCUUCGGGCCUCGCGCUAUAGGGGUGGCCGAUGGCUGAUUAGCUAGUUGGUGGGGUAAAGGCCUACCAAGGCGACGAUCAGUAGCUGGUCUGAGAGGACGACGAGCCACACUGGGACUGAGACACGGCCCAGACUCCUACGGGAGGCAGCAGUGGGGAAUUUUGGACAAUGGGCGAAAGCCUGAUCCAGCAAUGCCGCGUGUGUGAAGAAGGCCUUCGGGUUGUAAAGCACUUUUGUCCGGAAAGAAAUCCUUGGCCCUAAUACGGUCGGGGGAUGACGGUACCGGAAGAAUAAGCACCGGCUAACUACGUG
rnacentral:rRNA from 1 species